rnacentral:misc_RNA from 2 species
AACGCACAUUGCGCCCCCUGGCAUUCCGGGGGGCAUGCCUGUUCGAGCGUCAUUACACCACUCAAGCCUGGCUUGGUAUUGGGCGUCGCGCCUCCGCGCGCGCCCUAAUGUCGCCGGCCGAGCCGUCCGUCUCUAAGCGUUGUGCAAACUAUCCGCUGGUGAGAAGGGGGGCGUCGCGCCGUUAAACCUGGACUCGCGUCCAUCAAGGUUGACCUCGGAUCAGGUAGGGAUACCCGCUGAACUUAA